CAAGGCCGCAAAGUUCAGAGGAAUCACAGGGUUCACCACGGGGAGGUGUAGCUGGUAUGGACCAGGACCGGACUGAAGAAACUUCAUCAAGAUCCGCCGUGCAGAAUCCCCCAGUCCCCUCCAGAGGCCGUGGGAGAGGCCGUGGCGGUCGGAGAUGUGUGUCUGCAGUCUCCGCCAGGGAAGAUAGGGAGUUCGUCAUUCACAGCAGUGACAAUGAACUCCUUAUCCAACUGGUGGAGGCUCGUCCCUCACUAUGGGACCCCUCCGACCGCCAACACGCCGACC